UACGUAGGUGGCGAGCGUUGUCCGGAUUUAUUGGGCGUAAAGAGCGUGUAGGCGGUUCGGUAAGUCGGACGUGAAAUCCCCUGGCUCAACCAGGGAACUGCGUCCGAUACUGGAUGGCUCGAAUCCGGGAGAGGGAUGUGGAAUUCCAGGUGUAGCGGUGAAAUGCGUAGAUAUCUGGAGGAACACCGGUGGCGAAGGCGGCAUCCUGGACCGGUAUUGACGCUGAGGCGCGAAAGCCAGGGGAGCAAACGGG
rnacentral:rRNA from 1 species